CCUACGGGAGGCAGCAGUGGGGAAUAUUGGACAAUGGGCGAAAGCCUGAUCCAGCCAUGCCGCGUGUGUGAAGAAGGUCUUCGGAUUGUAAAGCUCUUUAAUGUUGGGAGGAAGGGCAGUUACCUAAUACGUAUCUGUUUUGACGUUACC
rnacentral:rRNA from 1 species